rnacentral:misc_RNA from 1 species
GAUGAAGAACGUAGCGAAAUGCGAUAAGUAAUGUGAAUUGCAGAAUUCAGUGAAUCAUCGAAUCUUUGAACGCACAUUGCGCCCGCCAGUAUUCUGGCGGGCAUGCCUGUCCGAGCGUCAUUUCAACCCUCAAGCCCCCGGGCUUGGUGUUGGAGAUCGGCGAGCCCCCCGGGGCGCGCCGUCUCCCAAAUAUAGUGGCGGUCCCGCUGUAGCUUCCUCUGCGUAGUAGCACACCUCGCACUGGGAAACAGCGUGGCCACGCCGUAAAACCCCCCACUUCUGAAAGGUUGACAUCGGAUCAGGUAGGAAUACCCGCUGAACUUAAGCAUAUCAAUAAGCGGAGGA